rnacentral:rRNA from 1 species
ACGAACGCUGGCGGCACGCUUAACACAUGCAAGUCGAACGAGAGAAGAGAAGCUUGCUUUUCUGAUCUAGUGGCGGACGGGUGAGUAACACGUGAGCAAUCUGCCUUUCAGAGGGGGAUACCGAUUGGAAACGAUCGUUAAUACCGCAUAACAUAAUUGAACCGCAUGAUUUGAUUAUCAAAGAUUUAUCGCUGAAAGAUGAGCUCGCGUCUGAUUAGCUAGUUGGUAAGGUAACGGCUUACCAAGGCGACGAUCAGUAGCCGGACUGAGAGGUUGAUCGGCCACAUUGGGACUGAGACACGGCCCAGACUCCUACGGGAGGCAGCAGUGGGGAAUAUUGCACAAUGGAGGAAACUCUGAUGCAGCGAUGCCGCGUGAGGGAAGAAGGUUUUAGGAUUGUAAACCUCUGUCUUCAGGGACGAAAAAAGACGGUACCUGAGGAGGAAGCUCCGGCUAACUACGUGCCAGCAGCCGCGGUAAUACGUAGGGAGCGAGCGUUGUCCGGAAUUACUGGGUGUAAAGGGAGCGUAGGCGGGAUCGCAAGUCAGAUGUGAAAACUAUGGGCUUAACCCAUAAACUGCAUUUGAAACUGUGGUUCUUGAGUGAAGUAGAGGUAAGCGGAAUUCCUAGUGUAGCGGUGAAAUGCGUAGAUAUUAGGAGGAACAUCAGUGGCGAAGGCGGCUUACUGGGCUUUAACUGACGCUGAGGCUCGAAAGCGUGGGGAGCACACAGGAUUAGAUACCCUGGUAGUCCACGCCGUAAACGAUGAUUACUAGGUGUGGGGGGACUGACCCCUUCCGUGCCGCAGCAAACGCAAUAAGUAAUCCACCUGGGGAGUACGACCGCAAGGUUGAAACUCAAAGGAAUUGACGGGGGCCCGCACAAGCAGUGGAGUAUGUGGAUUAAUUCGAAGCAACGCGAAGAACCUUACCAGGUCUUGACAUCGUAUGCAUAGCUCAGAGAUGAGUGAAAUCUCUUCGGAGACAUAUAGACAGGUGGUGCAUGGUUGUCGUCAGCUCGUGCCGUGAGGUGUCGGCUUAAGUGCCAUAACGAGCGCAACCCUUGUUGUCAGUUACUAACAGGUUCCGCUGAGGACUCUGACAAGACUGCCAUCGUAAGAUGUGAGGAAGGUGGGGAUGACGUCAAAUCAUCAUGCCCCUUAUGACCUGGGCCUCACACGUACUACAAUGGCUGUCAACAGAGGGAAGCAAAGCCGCGAGGUGGAGCAAACCCCUAAAAGCAGUCUUAGUUCGGAUUGUAGGCUGCAACCCGCCUACAUGAAGUCGGAAUUGCUAGUAAUCGCAGAUCAGCAUGCUGCGGUGAAUACGUUCCCGGGCCUUGUACACACCGCCCGUCACGCCAUGGGAGUCGGUAACACCCGAAGCCUGUAGUCUAACCGCAAGGAGGACGCAGUCGAAGGUGGGAUUGAUGACUGGGGUG